rnacentral:rRNA from 1 species
UAAGGGCUCACCAAGGCGACGAUCCCUAGCUGGUCUGAGAGGAUGAUCAGCCACACUGGAACUGAGACACGGUCCAGACUCCUACGGGAGGCAGCAGUGGGGAAUAUUGCACAAUGGGGGAAACCCUGAUGCAGCCAUGCCGCGUGUAUGAAGAAGGCCUUCGGGUUGUAAAGUACUUUCAGCAGUGAGGAAGGUGGUGUCGUUAAUAGCGGCAUUGCUUGACGUUAGCUGCAGAAGAAGCACCGGCUAACUCCGUGCCAGCAGCCGCGGUAAUACGGAGGGUGCGAGCGUUAAUCGGAAUUACUGGGCGUAAAGGCCCACCAGGCGGUCUGUUAAGCAAGAUGUGAAAGCCCGGGGCUUAACCUCGGAACUGCAUUUUGAACUGGCAGACUAGAGUCUUGUAGAGGGGGGUAGAAUUUCAGGUGU